rnacentral:rRNA from 1 species
UACGUAGGGUGCAGGCGUUAAUCGGAAUUACUGGGCGUAAAGCGUGCGCAGGCGGUCUAUUAAGACAGGUGUGAAAUCCCCGGGCUUAACCUGGGAACUGCGCUUGUAACUGAUAGGCUUGAGUGUGGCAGAGGGGGGUGGAAUUCCAGGUGUAGCGGUGAAAUGCGUAGAUAUCUGGAGGAACACCGGUGGCGAAGGCG